rnacentral:rRNA from 1 species
CUGCCUUUCAGAGGGGGACAACAGUUGGAAACGACUGCUAAUACCGCAUGAUACAUUUGGGUGGCAUCAUCUGAAUGUCAAAGAUUUAUCGCUGAAAGAUGGCCUCGCGUCUGAUUAGCUAGUUGGUGAGGUAACGGCCCACCAAGGCGACGAUCAGUAGCCGGACUGAGAGGUUGACCGGCCACAUUGGGACUGAGAUACGGCCCAGACUCCUACGGGAGGCAGCAGUGGGGAAUAUUGGGCAAUGGGCGCAAGCCUGACCCAGCAACGCCGCGUGAAGGAAGAAGGCUUUCGGGUUGUAAACUUCUUUUAAGAGGGAAGAGCAGAAGACUGUACCUCUAGAAUAAGCCACGGCUAACUACGUGCCAGCAGCCGCGGUAAUACGUAGGUGGCAAGCGUUGUCCGGAUUUACUGGGUGUAAAGGGCGUGCAGCCGGGAAUGCAAGUCAGAUGUGAAAUCCAUGGGCUUAACCCAUGAACUGCAUUUGAAACUGUAUUUCUUGAGUACUGGAGAGGCAAUCGGAAUUCCUAGUGUAGCGGUGAAAUGCGUAGAUAUUAGGAGGAACACCAGUGGCGAAGGCGGAUUGCUGGACAGCAACUGACGGUGAGGCGCGAAAGUGUGGGGAGCAAACAGGAUUAGAUACCCUGGUAGUCCACACUGUAAACGAUGAAUACUAGGUGUGCGGGGACUGACCCCCUGCGUGC